GGCUGUGACUCAGUGGUAGAGUGCUUGCCUAGCAUGGAUAAGGCACUAAGUUCGAUUCUCAGCACCA
rnacentral:tRNA from 1 species